UGGGGAAUUUUGGACAAUGGACGCAAGUCUGAUCCAGCCAUGCCGCGUGCGGGAAGAAGGCCUUCGGGUUGUAAACCGCUUUUGUCAGGGAAGAAACGAGUUUCUCUAAUACAGUGACUUGAUGACGGUACCUGAAGAAUAAGCACCGGCUAACUACGUGCCAGCAGCCGCGGUAAUACGUAGGGUGCAAACGUUAAUCGGAAUUACUGGGCGUAAAGCGUGCGCAGGCGGUCAUGCAAGACAGAGGUGAAAUCCCCGGGCUCAACCUGGGAACUGCCUUUGUGACUGCAUAGCUAGAGUACGGUAGAGGGGGAUGGAAUUCCGCGUGUAGCAGUGAAAUGCGUAGAUAUGCGGAGGAACACCGAUGGCGAAGGCAAUCCCCUGGACCUGUACUGACGCUCAUGCACGAAAGCGUGGGGAGCAAACA
rnacentral:rRNA from 1 species